rnacentral:tRNA from 2 species
CGGGAAGUAGCUCAGCUUGGUAGAGCACUUGGUUUGGGACCAAGGGGUCGCAGGUUCGAAUCCUGUCUUCCUGACCA